rnacentral:rRNA from 1 species
UCUCCCCGAAAUAUAUUUAGGUAUAGGCUCGUAUGAACCCUUCUGGGGGUAGAGCACUGGAUGGGUGUCCUCGGCGCAAGCCGAAGCAUCUAACCAAACUCCGAAUACCAGAAGGCGCUGUACGGGACUCAGAACGGCGGAGCUAAUUUCGCCGCUCAAAAGGGAAACAACCCAGACCAUCGUCUAAGGUCUCUAAACACAUCUCAGUGGUAAAGGUAGUCACAAUCCUCAGACACCUAGGAGGUCGGCUCAGAAGCAGCCAUCCUUGAAAGAAAGCGUAACAGCUCACUAGCCGAGGUUUAUGGCGCCGAAAACGUAUCGAGGCUCAAGUUGUGUACCGAAGACGUGGAUUUUAUUUCGAAAGAUGUAAAGUGGUAGGGGAGCGUUCUCCGUGCUGUGAAGGCGGCGGGUAACCGAUCUGCUGGAGCGAGGAGAAGUGCGAAUGCCGGUAUGAGUAGCGAUAAUGAAGUGAGAAUCUUCAUCUCCGAAUGUCCAAGGUUUCCGCACCCACGUUCGUCGUGUGCGGGUUAGGCGACCCUUAGGCGAGGCCGUUUGGCGUAGCUGAUGGAUUACCGGUUAAUAUUCCGGUCCUUGGUAUGUUUCGUUACGACUUGGGGAGGGACGGAAUCGGAUAGCGCAAACGCUCCGAUGAACGAGUCGUUGAACCGUCGAGACAGUUCCCGCAGGCAAAUCCACGGGGGCGUUUAUUCGAGACGGGACCACGAGCGCGAGGCGAAAGCCGAGCGCAAGUUGCGUGAUUUCAGUUUCCAAGAAAAGCUUCGCAAGCAGAAACAUGCCAAAUCGUACUGAUAACCGACACAGGUGGACUAGUCGAGUAGACUAAGGAGAGCGAGAGAACAUGGUUUAAGGAAUUCGGCAAAACAACUAGGCGUACCUUUGGAAGAUGCCUUCCUCUCCGCAAGGAGAGGCUCAGCGAAAGAUUUGAGGUCGACUGUUUAACAAAAACACAGGUCUGUGCAAACUCGAAAGAGGAAGUAUACGGGCUGAGGCCUGCCCAGUGCCGGAAGGUUAACUGCGAGAGUGGUAUCGCAAGAUACUGCUUUCAAUUGAAGCCCCGGUGAACGGCAGCAGUAACUAUAAAAACAUUGUAGUUAAAAAAGUUGGCUAUAUGCUGGAAACUC